CUGGAGUGAGGGAUUAUGGGAAGGCCAAGCUAUUGCCGUCCAGUGUGUCCCGACACAAGGUUUACCGGCAGUAUGCUGAUGCUGGUAGGGAACAUACUCUCUGUGAAAGUAAUUUACGGGCGAUAUUGAAGAAAUUUUAGUUAGUUGUAUACCAACACUUGAUCCUUUUAUUGACAUUUCUGAUGGUGGGGCAUAUGCUUGUUCAUAUCAAUUUAUUACUAUUUUAACGUUAUCAUUUUGUUUAGUGUUUCUCCUACACAAAAAGUGAAAGUGUAUAUGCUGAUAAGGACCUUAGUGUAUAGAUUGCUUCUUCUGUUAUUGUUAUCAUUAUUUCUUGAUUUAUUUGUUCAUUAAUUUUUUAUAAAUGUGUUACUGGCACUAGAUAAAAGGUGGAUCUGUAUUUUAAGUGUGAAAACUGCUUAUGGUCCUACUUGUGCAAAUAGAGUAUGGAAGAGUAAAAGUAAAAGCGCAUUCUCUAUCUCAGGAUUUAAAUAAAGAAGUUGCCUUUUCUGUUAAUGUACAAUGAACAUCUCAUAAUCAAGAAACAGUUUGUUCUAUGGACAUUGCCGUAUUUAUUAAAAGAUUGUGUUAAUGGUUGCUGAUUAUCCUGAAAUGAACGACAGAACUUACAUGGUAGUAAAUUCAUGACAAGUACAGUAGUAAUAAUUCUAAAGUAGGCUGAGGUCUGUAAAAACUCGGCUGAGAGUACUAAUACUAGUACAAAGUUAACAGCUCUACAUUUUUUUGUUUUUAUUUACUGAUUGUUUUAUGUUGUUUCUUUUAAUGAUCAAUUU